rfam:Ciona savignyi cont_35801, whole genome shotgun sequence.
GUCGUCGUGGCCGAGUGGUUAAGGCGACAGACUUGAAAUCUGUUGGGCUCUGCCCGCACAGAUUCGAAUCCUGUCGGCGACA